rnacentral:rRNA from 1 species
GACGAACGCUGGCGGCGUGCUUAACACAUGCAAGUCGAACGCUGAAGCUCAGCUUUUGUUGGGUGGAUGAGUGGCGAACGGGUGAGUAACACGUGAGUAACCUGCCCCCUUCUUUGGGAUAACGCCCGGAAACGGGUGCUAAUACUGGAUAUUCACUGGUCUUCGCAUGGGGGUUGGUGGAAAGGGUUUUUCUGGUGGGGGAUGGGCUCGCGGCCUAUCAGCUUGUUGGUGGGGUGAUGGCCUACCAAGGCUUUGACGGGUAGCCGGCCUGAGAGGGUGACCGGUCACAUUGGGACUGAGAUACGGCCCAGACUCCUACGGGAGGCAGCAGUGGGGAAUAUUGCACAAUGGGCGCAAGCCUGAUGCAGCGACGCCGCGUGAGGGAUGGCGGCCUUCGGGUUGUGAACCUCUUUCGCUCAUGGUCAAGCCGCAACAAUGGUUGUGGUGAGGGUAGUGGGUAAAGAAGCGCCGGCUAACUACGUG